AUUGAACGCUGGCGGCAGGCCUAACACAUGCAAGUCGAACGGUAACAGGAAGCAGCUUGAUGCUUCGCUGACGAGUGGCGGACGGGUGAGUAAUGUCUGGGAAGCUGCCUGAUGGAGGGGGAUAACUACUGGAAACGGUAGCUAAUACCGCAUAAUGUCGCAAGACCAAAGAGGGGGACCUUCGGGCCUCUUGCCAUCGGAUGUGCCCAGAUGGGAUUAGCUUGUUGGUGGGGUAACGGCUCACCAAGGCGACGAUCCCUAGCUGGUCUGAGAGGAUGACCAGCCACACUGGAACUGAGACACGGUCCAGACUCCUACGGGAGGCAGCAGUGGGGAAUAUUGCACAAUGGGCGCAAGCCUGAUGCAGCCAUGCCGCGUGUAUGAAGAAGGCCUUCGGGUUGUAAAGUACUUUCAGCGGGGAGGAAGGGAGUAAAGUUAAUACCUUUGCUCAUUGACGUUACCCGCAGAAGAGGCACCGGCUAACUCCGUGCCAGCAGCCGCGGUAAUACGGAGGGUGCAAGCGUUAAUCGGAAUUACUGGGCGUAAAGCGCACGCAGGCGGUUUGUUAAGUCAGAUGUGAAAUCCCCGGGCUCAACCUGGGAACUGCAUCUGAUACUGGCAAGCUUGAGUCUCGUAGAGGGGGGUAGAAUUCCAGGUGUAGCGGUGAAAUGCGUAGAGAUCUGGAGGAAUACCGGUGGCGAAGGCGGCCCCCUGGACGAAGACUGACGCUCAGGUGCGAAAGCGUGGGGAGCAAACAGGAUUAGAUACCCUGGUAGUCCACGCCGUAAACGAUGUCGACUUGGAGGUUGUGCCCUUGAGGCGUGGCUUCCGGAGCUAACGCGUUAAGUCGACCGCCUGGGGAGUACGGCCGCAAGGUUAAAACUCAAAUGAAUUGACGGGGGCCCGCACAAGCGGUGGAGCAUGUGGUUUAAUUCGAUGCAACGCGAAGAACCUUACCUGGUCUUGACAUCCACGGAAGUUUUCAGAGAUGAGAAUGUGCCUUCGGGAACCGUGAGACAGGUGCUGCAUGGCUGUCGUCAGCUCGUGUUGUGAAAUGUUGGGUUAAGUCCCGCAACGAGCGCAACCCUUAUCCUUUGUUGCCAGCGGUCCGGCCGGGAACUCAAAGGAGACUGCCAGUGAUAAACUGGAGGAAGGUGGGGAUGACGUCAAGUCAUCAUGGCCCUUACGACCAGGGCUACACACGUGCUACAAUGGCGCAUACAAAGAGAAGCGACCUCGCGAGAGCAAGCGGACCUCAUAAAGUGCGUCGUAGUCCGGAUUGGAGUCUGCAACUCGACUCCAUGAAGUCGGAAUCGCUAGUAAUCGUGGAUCAGAAUGCCACGGUGAAUACGUUCCCGGGCCU
rnacentral:rRNA from 1 species